rnacentral:rRNA from 1 species
AACAGGAUUAGAUACCCUGGUAGUCCAUGCCGUAAACGAUGAGUGCUAGGUGUUGGAGGGUUUCCGCCCUUCAGUGCCGGAGCUAACGCAUUAAGCACUCCGCCUGGGGAGUACGACCGCAAGGUUGAAACUCAAAGGAAUUGACGGGGGCCCGCACAAGCGGUGGAGCAUGUGGUUUAAUUCGAAGCUACGCGAAGAACCUUACCAGGUCUUGACAUCUUGCGCCAACCCAAGAGAUAGGGCGUUUCCUUCGGGAACGCAAUGACAGGUGGUGCAUGGUCGUCGUCAGCUCGUGUCGUGAGAUGUUGGGUUAAGUCCCGCAACGAGCGCAACCCUUGUUACUAGUUGCCAGCAUUAAGUUGGGCACUCUAGUGAGACUGCCGGUGACAAACCGGAGGAAGGUGGGGACGACGUCAGAUCAUCAUGCCCCUUAUGACCUGGGCUACACACGUGCUACAAUGGACGGUACAACGAGUCGCGAACUCGCGAGGGCAAGCAAAUCUCUUAAAACCGUUCUCAGUUCGGACUGCAGGCUGCAACUCGCCUGCACGAAGUCGGAAUCGCUAGUAAUCGCGGAUCAGCAUGCCGCGGUGAAUACGUUCCCGGGCCUUGUACACACCGCCCGUCACACCAUGAGAGUUUGUAACACCCAAAGUCGGUGGGGUAACCUUUUAGGAGCCAGCCGCCUAAGGUGGGACAGAUGAUUAGGGUGAAGUCGUAACAAGGUAACC